rnacentral:rRNA from 1 species
AAUAUUGGACAAUGGGGGCAACCCUGAUCCAGCCAUGCCGCGUGUGUGAAGAAGGUCUUCGGAUUGUAAAGCACUUUAAGUUGGGAGGAAUGGCUUUAGGUUAAUACCCUGAAGUUUUGACGUUACCAACAGAAUAAGCACCGGCUAACUCUGUGCCAUCAGCCGCGGUAAUACAGCGGGUGCAAUCUUUAAUCGGAAUUACUGGGCUUAAAGCGCGGUUAGGUGGUUCAGUAAGAUGGUUGGAAAAUCCCCGGGCUAAACUUGGGAACUGCUUCCAUAACUGUGGGGCUAAAGUAAGUUAGAGGGUAUGGGAAUUUCCGUUUUAGCGUUGAAAGGCGUAGUUAAAGGAAGGACCACCAGUGGGGAAGGCGAUUACUGGGAUGAUUACGGACACGGAGUGGGAAAAGCGUGGGAAGCAAA